rnacentral:tRNA from 1 species
AAGGCUUUAAGUUAAAUAAAACUAAUAUCCUUCAAAGCUAUAAAUAAAGAAAAUUCUUUAAGCCUUA